rnacentral:rRNA from 1 species
CUGCUCAGUAACACGUGGACAACCUACCCUUGGGUCCGGCAUAAUCCUGGGAAACUGGGGAUAAUUCCGGAUAGGCCACAGAUGCUGGAAUGCGCUGUGGCCGAAAGCUCCGGCGCCCAAGGAUGGGUCUGCGGCCUAUCAGGGUUGUAGUGGGUGUAACGUACCUACUAGCCUACGACGGGUACGGGUUGUGAGAGCAAGAGCCCGGAGAUGGAUUCUGAGACACGAAUCCAGGCCCUACGGGGUGCAGCAGGCGCGAAAACUUUACAAUGCGGGAAACCGUGAUAAGGGGAUCUCGAGUGCCAGCAUAUAAUGUUGGCUGUCCAGAUGCCUAAAAAGCAUCUGUUAGCAAGGGCCGGGCAAGACCGGUGCCAGCCGCCGCGGUAACACCGGCGGCCCGAGUGGUAACCGCUAUUAUUGGGUCUAAAGGGUCUGUAGCCGGCCAGGUAAGUCCCUUGGGAAAUCUGGCAGCUCAACUGUCAGGCUGCUAGGGGAUACUGUUUGGCUUGGGACCGGGAGAGGUGAGAGGUACCUUGGGGGUAGGGGUGAAAUCUUGUAAUCCCCGAGGGACGACCGAUGGCGAAGGCAUCUUACCAGAACGGCUUCGACAGUGAGGGACGAAAGCUGGGGGAGCAAACCGGAUUAGAUACCCGGGUAGUCCCA